rnacentral:rRNA from 1 species
AUGACUAAUCAUCGAGGCGAGAAGGUUCGGCAUUGGUCUAUAGGCCAGAGCCUCCCAGCCGCGCUUUUCAGCCGCGGCCGUCUCACCAGCCUCUGCCUCCCCGUCUCGAGGCUCCCGGAGACGCCUCCGGUCACUACUUCGGUCCCCAUCUUCCUGCUGCUGCGUCCGGGGACUCUCCGCGGUGUCCAGCACACGGGGAGGAUGGACGAGCACGUCGGCGAGAAGGUGCGCUGGCGGCUCGCCGUCCUGGACGACAAGAAAGUCCAAGAACCCUUCCUCGUCGGCCACGGCCCUCUCACCGGCCCCUACCUCGCCGUCUCAAGGCUCCCGGAGACGCCUCCGGUCUCCACUGCGCUCUCCAUCUUCCUGCUGCUCCGCCCAGGGGGGCUCCGCUGUGUCCAGCACACCGGGGGGGUUGACGAUCACGGCGGCGAGAAGGUGCGCUGGCGGCUCGGCGUGCUGGACGCCAAGAAAGUCCAAGAACCCGUCUUCGUCGGCCGCGGCCCUCUCACCGGCCUCUGCCUCGCCGUCUCGAGGCUCCCGGAGACGCCUCCGGUCUCCACUGCGCUCUCCAUCUCCCUGCUGUUGCGCCCGGGGCCUCUCCGCGGUGUCAAGCACACCGGGGAGAUGGACGAGCACGGCGACGAGAAGGUGCGCUGGCGGCUCGGCGUCCUGGCCGCCCAGGGUGUCCAGGAACUCUUCAUCGCCGACCGUGAUCUUGCUCUCGCCUUCCUGCUUGACAGAGUAUCAGUUCUUAUCUUGGCCACCCAAGGAAACCAGACCUCCAGAGCUGGCCUCAGCCUGCAUGGCUGCAACAUCAUGCCCAUUAGCCUGCGUCCGCGUGCCUUCCACACUCGAGUACCACCGAAAUUAGUAUUGAGCUGCAACGGAUCCAGGAGCUUCGGCAAUGGCUUCAAGACGUCAACUGUGCACAAUUCUUACCGACCAUAUCUAGGCGCUCCUCUGCAGCAGAAUGUGCCAAAUACCUGUGCACUCGCAGCAUCGACCAAAUGUGUUGAGAUAGCUCACCGUCUGGCGUACGAGGCGGCGAACGGAGCAAACACUUUCCCCUGCAUUGCCGCGGCACCACGGAAGCUGCGAAGCAUUUGCCGGCGCCGAGGAAUAUGGGACCCGAAGAACGGGGCGGUCGCGGGAGAUGUUCUUGCCAAGAUCAGGGAUGAAGGCGGCAUCAGAACGACCAACGCGCCAGCGCCCGCGCCGGCGUUCCUGCCCCUGGGCACAUGGGAGUUCCAUUCCGCGGACUUGGGCCGUGGGCUCACGGAUGAUCAUAUAGCGGACCUGCUGGACGCGGAAGGCCCCUUCAUAGGGAAUAUCUGGGUGUGCCCCUGGUACAAUCUCUUCGACUCUGAUGUCGACAAUGAUUUGGUCUACAGAUCGGGGUGCGCAAGGGAUCCGGAUGCUCAGGAGGCCAGCCAGACUGACUUCGACGAAUUGGCUGGUUUUCACUCGGUGGUCUGCUUUGAGUACCGGUUCUGUGGUGGCGGGAUGCAUGUGCACGUGCUGGAUAACCACUCGGCAACCGGACCGGAGAGGUGGGUUUACUCUGAAGAGAUCGAGGAGGCAUACACGAUCCAGGUGCCGCGGAUGGAUCCUAUUGACCCGUCCAUCGUCAUGGAAAACGAGAAUAAAGGAUGGGACCAAUGCAUGCGGAUGAUUUUACUAGCAGGUGGAAGAAUAAUGCCGAUUAAGCAGAACGGUAUGACAGCUCGCGUCAGCAUGAGACUGUCGACUCCUCCAAUGCCCGCACUCUGCAGCUACGUGUUGCUCUGCGCGGUAACGAUCCAAGGAGUUGAAGAUGAAGAUGCCUGA